UACGUAGGGUGCGAGCGUUGUCCGGAAUUACUGGGCGUAAAGAGCUCGUAGGUGGUUUGUCGCGUUGUUCGUGAAAACUCACAGCUCAACUGUGGGCGUGCGGGCGAUACGGGCAGACUGGAGUACUGCAGGGGAGACUGGAAUUCCUGGUGUAGCGGUGGAAUGCGCAGAUAUCAGGAGGAACACCGGUGGCGAAGGCGGGUCUCUGGGCAGUAACUAACGCUGAGGAGCGAAAGCGUGGGGAGCGAACAGG
rnacentral:rRNA from 1 species